AAAAGUCAAAUGAGAGUGGUAUUUAAGAUACUCUUUGAAGAGGUAGGGGUUUAGAACAGAGUGCUCGGGUUGGGAUGUGACCAUAGCCCGAAGGUGUUUAGAACAGAGUGCUCGGGUUGGGAUGUGACCAUAGCCCGAAGGUGUUUAGAACAGAGUGCUCGGGUUGGGAUGUGACCAUAGCCUGAAGGUAGGGAAGGGGCAGUUCCUCUUGCUGUUCCGUAGCUAAGCAUCAUGGUCUUGUAGUGGAUGCGAGCUUGGGAGAACAUGGGAAAGUUAAACACCAGGCGGACUGUGGCAUUCUGGUUAAGUUGCAUGGCUUUGAUGGCGG
rnacentral:lncRNA from 1 species